AACGAACGCUGGCGGCAGGCCUAACACAUGCAAGUCGAACGAGAAAGCACUUCGGUGUGAGUAUAGUGGCGCACGGGUGAGUAACGCGUGGGAACGUACCUUAAGGAGUGGAAUAGCCCCGGGAAACUGGGAAUAAUACCGCAUAAUGUCUUCGGACCAAAGAUUUAUCGCCUUAAGAUCGGCCCGCGUGGGAUUAGUUUGUUGGUGGGGUAAUGGCCUACCAAGACUACGAUCUCUAGCUGGUUUGAGAGGAUGAUCAGCCACACUGGAACUGAGACACGGUCCAG
rnacentral:rRNA from 1 species